CACUAAGAAGCUAAUUGAUCAGCGCUAGCCUUUUAAGCUAGAGUUUGGUGACUUAACAUCACCCUUAGUGG
rnacentral:tRNA from 1 species